rnacentral:ribozyme from 1 species
UCCCUUCACAGAUCACUACCUUGUUGUGGUGAAGGGGCUUGCAUAACUCAAUAAAGCUAUGAGCCAUGUCAUGUAGAGCCACCCAAGAAGGAUGGAUCAUAGCAGAGAGUUCUGACAAAAUGUGAU